rfam:Thalassotalea sp. PP2-459 NODE_17_length_72581_cov_33.244816, whole genome shotgun sequence.
CAAAAGAUGGGCGGGUUGAGUAUCCUAACGGGCUUUUCAACCUGUGGUUAUUAAUUAAUUAAAUAUAGGAGAUGUGUUAGUGGCCCGUAUCGCUGGCAUUAACAUCCCUGAU